UGAGAUCAAGAGCCAGAUGGUCAACUGACUGAGCCACCCAGGCUCCCCUUGGUCUUUUCUCUUUCCUAUAAGGACUAAAAAAAGGAAAACAGACCUAAGCAAUAUCGGGGGGGGGUAUUUAGAGUCAGUAGGAAAACUUUCUUGAUACUGAGAGUUUAGAUGUGUGUUUAAGGUUGCGAUGUGCUGUGUAAGAUUGACAGCCUUUAAGCUUAGACUAAUUCAGCUUCCAAGGUUAUUUUAAAAAACAGGUUGAUGUCUAGCCCCUUCAAAGUUAUCUACAAAAUACUGGGUAUCUAGGAGAAGUUUGACUAAUUUUUAAAUAAAACCAUAGCCCACAAAAGGCCCUGGUGUGAUGCUAUCUCCUUCAUCAUGUCCUUAUUGGUGUCUCCACUGGAUUAGUACAUCUCUUGCCAGUGAAAUAAAAAUGUACGUGUUUGUGCAUCUUCAUUUCUCUUUCUUUUAAGGUACUUAAAGAGUGCCCUGUAUUAGAUCGACUUCUUUGUACUUACUUGCCCUGUACAGCUAGGAGCUCGUUGGUAGCAGGGGCCUGUGGACACCGUGGUGUGUGUUCACUAGCUGUGCCUUGUACACAGUGAUGUCAGAGACAACCAGCUGCUGCCCCUGUGACUUCACUAAUCCUCCCCACAACCCCGGGAAGCGGGCGGCCAGGCUGACACGCUUCCUCACCCGCCAAGUGGCAGCCGCUCGUAAAUCGGGACUGAGUGAACAAUCGGGACCUGGAAAUGCUGUGUCAUAUACUGCUCGAGGUCUCAACACCCGAACUGUGCUACAUGAGGAAGAGGCUACUACACUUAGAGCUGCCUAGGAUAAAUUUCUGUACAUAUAAGAAAGUACUGGGUCUGCAGCUCUUAUUAGAACUUCUCCAGAUUGGAAUCACAUGAGUCGGUCUCUGAAUUUCUUUUGCAGAGACAAACAAAACACCCCGGGUUUAAACUCUGCCAGGACAGACCAUCUCCCAAAUGCCUUUUGCACUUAAAACUUGGGUAUGGGGGCGCCUGGGUGGCACAGCGGUUAAGCGUCUGCCUUCGGCUCAGGGCGUGAUCCCGACGUUAUGGGAUCGAGCCCCACAUCAGGCUCCUCCGCUAUGAGCCUGC